CAGCAGCCGCGGUAAUACAUAGGGGGCAAGCGUUAUCCGGAAUUAUUGGGCGUAAAGGGUGCGUAGGCGGUCUAUUAAGUCUGAGGUGUAAGUGCAGGGCUCAACCCUGUGAUGCUUUAGAAACUGGUAGACUUGAGUGAGAUAGAGGCAAGUGGAAUUCCAUGUGUAGCGGUAAAAUGCGUAAAUAUAUGGAGGAACACCAGUGGCGAAGGCGGCUUGCUGGGUCUAUACUGACGCUGAGGCACGAAAGCGUGGGGAGCAAACAGGAUUAGAUACCCUGGUAGUCCACGCUGUAAACGAUGAGUACUAAGUGUUGCGAUAACGCAGUGCUGAAGUUAACAUAUUAAGUACUCCGCCUGAGUAGUACGUACGCAAGUAUGAAACUCAAAGGAAUUGACGGGACCCCGCACAAGCGGUGGAUCAUGUUGUUUAAUUCGAAGAUACCCGAAAAACCUUACCAGGUCUUGACAUACUCUGCAAAGCUAUAGAGAUAUAGUGGAGGUUAACAGAGAUACAGGUGGUGCAUGGCC
rnacentral:rRNA from 1 species